GCACACAAGUUUUGCAAAAGCAUCUAGUUCUAAUAUAAACUCGAGUUUAAUUAGCUUAAACAAAGAAGAAAAUGAUCAUACAAGUAAAAGAGUAUAUAACAAAUGGGAGCUGAGUCACAAUCAAAACUUUGCAAAACUAUUUCAAAAGUAUGUGGAUCAAGAUUUUGGAUAUCCAGAUUGAAAUGAGAUCAAGAAGUUUUCCGAAGAAAACAAUGUAACCUACGCACAUGUUCGAGCAAGUAUUGUUAAUGAGCGUGCUUUAAAAAAAAAGCUAUAUAAAAAAAAUAUGU
rnacentral:lncRNA from 1 species